AUUGAACGCUGGCGGCAUGCUUUACACAUGCAAGUCGAACGAGUGGCGCACGGGUGAGUAAUACAUCUGAACGUGUCCUAUCGUAGGGGAGAACUGAUCGAAAGACUAGCUAAUACUGCAUACGAUUUGAGCGUCCGUUGCCCGAUUAGCUAGUUGGUGGGGUAAAGGCCCACCAAGGCGACGAGCGGUAGCUGGUCUGAGAGGACGACCAGCCACACUGGGACUGAGACACGGCCCAGACUCCUACGGGAGGCAGCAGUGGGGAAUUUUGGACAAUGGGGGCAACCCUGAUCCAGCCAUGCCGCGUGCAGGAUGAAGGUCUUCGGAUUGUAAACUGCUUUUGUCAGGGAAGCGGUACCUGAAGAAUAAGCACCGGCUAACUACGUGCCAGCAGCCGCGGUAAUUC
rnacentral:rRNA from 1 species